CAGUGUGUUCUUACGACUUCAAGCGCUCUGGGGCCCGACGCAAAUUGAUCUAUUCGCAUCUCGGUUGAACUCCCAAUUACCAGCGUUCUUCAGCUGGAGACCAGACCCGGACGCCCUAGCAGCGGAUGCGUUUCUUCAACUAUGGCCGAAGAGCCGAUUGUACGCAUUUCCUCCAUUCUCCCUCAUAGCUAUAACACUGGUACACCUCAGACGUGUCCAAGCCUCAUUGGUCCUCAUAACCCCAUUUUGGACAGCUCAACCUUGGUUCCCAUCACUCAUGGAAAUGUCCAUGGACCUCCCGAGACUGCUACCCGAUGUCGCACAUCUUUUAUCAGACCCAGAGGGCAACCCACAUCCCCUUCUGAUUCAGGGGAACUUCAAACUCUUAGCGUGGCUCCUUUCAGGGGACCCUGGAUCAUACCAGAUGUUCUAC